rnacentral:rRNA from 1 species
AUUGAACGCUGGCGGCAUGCCUUACACAUGCAAGUCGAACGGCAGCACGGGUGCUUGCACCUGGUGGCGAGUGGCGAACGGGUGAGUAAUACAUCGGAACAUACCUUAUCGUGGGGGAUAACGCAGCGAAAGCUGUGCUAAUACCGCAUACGCCCCGAGGGGGAAAGCGGGGGAGCGCAAGACCUCGCGCGAUUAGAGCGGCCGAUGCCUGAUUAGCUAGUUGGUGGGGUAAAAGCCCACCAAGGCGACGAUCAGUAGCUGGUCUGAGAGGACGAUCAGCCACGCUGGGACUGAGACACGGCCCAGACUCCUACGGGAGGCAGCAGUGGGGAAUUUUGGACAAUGGGGGCAACCCUGAUCCAGCAAUGCCGCGUGAGUGAAGAAGGCCUUCGGGUUGUAAAGCUCUUUUGUCAGGGAAGAAACACCGGCUCUAACACAGUCCGGGAAUGACGGUACCUGAAGAAUAAGCACCGGCUAACUACGUGCCAGCCGCCGCAGUAA